rnacentral:rRNA from 1 species
AGCGGUGAAAUUCCAAUCGAGCCCGGAGAUAGCUGGUUCUCCCCGAAAUAGCUUUAGGGCUAGCCUCAAGGUGAGAGAUACGGAGGUAGAGCACUGAAUGUCCUAGGGGGUAUUGCACCUACCGAAGACUAUCAAACUCCGAAUGCCGUCAUCUUAUACUUGGGAGUCAGACUGUGGGUGAUAAGAUUCAUAGUCGAAAGGGCAACAGCCCAGAUCGUCAGCUAAGGUCCCUAAAUGUAAGUUAAGUGGUAAAGGAUGUGGGAUUGCACAGACAACCAGGAUGUUGGCUUAGAAGCAGCCACUCAUUCAAAGAGUGCGUAAUAGCUCACUGGUCGAGUGAUCCUGCGCCGAAGAUUUCCGGGGCUAAAACUUACUACCGAAGCUACGGCAUCAGUAAUGAUGGGUAGGGGAGCUUCCCAUACGGGU